GUCAUCGCUCAACAUAUGUUCGAACGCGAUGACCCUGAAGCUAACCUGUGAACAGCAGCUCGCCAUUGCCCGUUGUCCGUCGUACGAUAGCCGAUGUAAAUAUUAUUGUUAUUGCGACGCAGUAUUAUAGUAAAUAUUGCAUUGGUAUGUCGCAGUGAGGUGCGUGUCGAUACAAGACGCAAUAAUACUAAUCGUUUAAGUUAAAACGCGUGACUUGAACCGUUUUCGUCUUCAGUCUUCGAAUAUUUUUGUUACGAAUUACCAGAGAUAUUUACAGCAUAUUAUCGCAUCAGUUAAAUAAUAUUGUAACGCCGAUUUUUCAAAAUGAACGCCGGACCGUUAGUACGCUACGCCAUGAUAACCGGUGACGUACUAGAAACGACCAUCGGAAUGACCGGUUUGACGAUUGCAGCUGCUGCAACCGGCUGGGGCCUACCAUCGGUCGCAAUGACUUCGGCCGCCGUCGGAGUGUACAAAGUAGUCAAGUUACUGUGGCGGAUAAAGAGGAGAUUGCGUUGACGUCUUUUGUGACAAUAUUACGUCGCACACAUUACUAUAAUGUACAGUCGUAUACAGGACGAUUCGUUUGACGUUCCCGCUCAAUAUUAUCCUGCUAUACAUUUAGCUAUAUAUUCGGUUUUUACAGGAGUAAAACAAAUACUAUUUUUUGUAUGAUUCAAACCUUAUUGAAGCACCUCUGCAAAACCUGUAUAAAUAACAAACAUUAAUUUUAUCGUUUUUUCGUUCGUAAGCAUUUGAGGUCGUGUCUUAGAUGAGCAAAUAAUAGUGUCUCAUAUAAUAAUAUCAACAUAGUAUUUACCUCUCCUCAACUUAUUUUUAUUAAAACUUUAAUUGCUUAUAAAUAACUAUCAGUAACCAUCUUUACGAAAAAAUAAAAUCUAAAAAUUCGUUACAAUCGUAAAUUAUCGAAAAAUCAAUUGUAAUAUUUAUAUUAUGUCAGAAUGAGCGAUUUAUGUCGAGACGAUCAUCCUGUAUACGCAAACUAUAUACUGUAUAAUAGACGAUUCGUCUACAGCCGCGUCAUUUAGCGAUUAUAGAGAUGUGACAGUGAAUUCUCAAAAGCAGUCGCAGAGUAGAAAAAUCAACCGAAUAAUAUAACGCAGGCCUAGUUGUAAACAUAUAUAACAACGCUUUAGACGUACGUGUUUGUAUAUAUAAAUGUGUGUAUGUGAUAAUGCAGCAUAUAUUAUAUAUAUGUUUUGUGUGUAUAUAUAUAUAGUAUUGUUCAAAACGAAAUGUAAAUUUGUGUGUACAUAUAAAACUAAAAUAAAAAAUAUUCUACAUUA